UACGUGGGGUCCGAGCGUUGUCCGGAGUUACUGGGCGUAAAGGGCGCGCAGGCGGCGGCGUGGGUCCGGCGUGAAAGCCCCCGGCUCAACCGGGGAGGGUCGUCGGGGACCGCGCCGCUUGAGGGCGGCAGGGGCCGGUGGAAUGCCUGGUGUAGUGGUGAAAUGCGUAGAGAUCAGGCGGAACACCCGUGGCGAAGGCGGCCGGCUGGGCCGUCCCUGACGCUGAGGCGCGAAGGCGUGGGGAGCGAACGGG
rnacentral:misc_RNA from 1 species